AUUUUGUUUAUUUUUUCAAAAAUUAUAGCUGCUAUUUAUUCAUGAAUAUCUUGUUUGGUUCCUUCAAAAGUAAUUUGACACGCCCAGUGGAUCACAUAAAUAUGAUCUAUGGGGUUGAUCGACAAUGAUCUAUGGCGCCUCAAGCUGAGUUAUUUCUGCUUAAAGCUUGCUUAUGCCGGUUUGUAUCAUUGAAUCAAUAUUGAAACGGGAAUGUACGUUUAGAGUCCCUCUGGCUGCAAUGUUAUAAUAUUCUGCUAUUGCACGUGUCUUAAAGUCAAGGUUGGCGGGAAAAUAGCCAAAGUGGCAGCACUGCUCACCGAGCAGGCUGAGCCAACGCAGCGUAGUUUUUGCAGCUGCUCUGUGACUGGUCGAGUGCAUCUGAAUACAGUUACUGUUAAAGUUACAGUUAGAGUUACCGUAACAGACAGGAGAGAUUUGGUGCUGUAAGCAACCACUCUUUAAGGUAGUUAUUUAGAUAGAAAAGUUUACUCAAAAA